UGGGGAAUAUUGCGCAAUGGGCGAAAGCUUGACGCAGUGACACCGUGUGAAGGAUGAAGGCCUUCGGGUCGUAAACUUCUGUCAAUUGGGGACGAAGGUGCUGAGGUUAAUACCCUUUAGCACUGACGGUACCUAAUAAGGAAGUCUCGGCUAACUCCGUGCCAGCAGCCGCGGUAAGACGGAGGAGGCAAGCGUUGUCCGGAAUCAUUGGGCGUAAAGAGCACGUAGGCUGUUUUCCAAGUCAUAUGUGAAAACCUCAGGCUUAACUUGAGGAUUGCAUUUGAAACUGGAUAACUUGAGUGCAGUAGGGGAAAGUGGAAUUUCUGGUGUAGCGGUGAAAUGCGCAGAUAUCAGGAAGAACACCGGUAGCGAAGGCGGCUUUCUGGGCUGCUACUGACGCUGAGGUGCGAAAGCUAGGGGAGCAAACAGG
rnacentral:rRNA from 1 species